rnacentral:rRNA from 1 species
AGCGAACGCUGGCGGCAGGCUUAACACAUGCAAGUCGAACGGGCUUCUUCGGAAGUCAGUGGCAGACGGGUGAGUAACACGUGGGAACGUGCCCUUCGGUUCGGAAUAACUCAGGGAAACUUGAGCUAAUACCGGAUACGCCCUUUUGGGGAAAGGUUGACUGCCGAAGGAUCGGUCCGCGUCUGAUUAGCUUGUUGGUGGGGUAACGGCCUACCAAGGCGACGAUCAGUAGCUGGUCUGAGAGGAUGAUCAGCCACACUGGGACUGAGACACGGCCCAGACUCCUACGGGAGGCAGCAGUGGGGAAUAUUGGACAAUGGGCGCAAGCCUGAUCCAGCCAUGCCGCGUGAGUGAUGAAGGCCUUAGGGUUGUAAAGCUCUUUUGUCCGGGACGAUAAUGACGGUACCGGAAGAAUAAGCCCCGGCUAACUUCGUG